AAUAUUGUAGUGUUACAGCGAAAUAAAAAAUGUGUUUUGAGAUAUGUGAGAAGCAGCAUAAAAGAUGACCAAGUUCAGGUAUGCUCAAUUUCACCCGAUGAUUCAGGUUUAUAGGUGACGACCCAAGUUGUCACAGAGCGUUUCAUCAUCACAUGGUCAUUUGUGGGCUGAGAGAGGCUCGAACUCUCGACCUCAGGAUCACUCACGAUUCAGGCGCUAGCCAAAUGCGCCACCACCCCUUCGUUGUAUGGCAGGCCAAACAUCAGUCUGUAUUCUAAUCUCUUGGUUCAGAUAAAGAAAGCAUGCAAAUAGGUUUGUGCAUACGCUGCCCAAAUCGGCUGGUUCUUCCAUCGUUAAAUCUAGAACAUAGCACAUGACAGUAACCUCCACUAGAGAUCAAAUGAGCUCCAUAAAGAAAAGGAUCUCACUUCUUCGGUAGAUAGAUACUGGUGAGCAACUCUGCGUCAACCUCAGAGUGGAUUUUACCCUAGCGCAUUUCAGUUUUAUACCCUAGGUAACUCUGCCUCGCGAAUCGAUUAGUUCAUCCGUCUUUAUUAUCGUUCAACGAGUGCUUAGUAAGAAUAAACUCCCUUUUAUUGAUGAGCAUAGCUUAGAAACAAUGUGUGGUUCUAGUCAACAAGCAAAAAAUCAUCAAUUGCCUUAUCGAUUGUCAACAAGUGUUUGUUCCAAACCUUUAGAGCUCAUUUUCUCUGAUGUAUGGGGGCAAGCACCCAGUUUUGUUGUUGACUAUAGCAAGUAUACAUGGAUCUAUCUUAUCAAGCGUAAGUCACAUGUGUUUCAAGUUUUUCAAAAAAUUUAAGCACUUAAUGAACGCAAAUUUGAUCGUAAAAUUAUUUCAGUCCAAUCGUACUAGGGUAGCGAGUAUGAGAAACUCAACUCGUUUUUCAAAGAAAUGUAGAAUUUCCUACCACAUCUCUUGUUCUCAUCCACAUCAAUAAAACGGCUUUACCGAGCACAAGCAUAGGCAUAUUAUUGAAGUUGGCCUCGCACUUCUUGCCAAUGAUUUCAUGCCUCUUAAGUUUUGGGAGGAGACGUUUCUCACCACUACUCAUCUCAUCAAUAUCACCGCUACUCAUCUCAUCAAUAUCCUACCAAGUUGUGUCAUCGAUUAUCAAACUCCCAUAGAACGACUCUUUCAUACUAAACCAAAUUAUACCUCUCUUAGAGUUUUUGGGUAUGCAUGUUGGCCAAAUCCUCAACCAUACAAUACUUGGAAACUUUCCUUUCGCUCGAAACAAUGUGUUUAAAUUGGCUAUAAUCCUCAACAUAAAGGUGUCAAGUGCGUAGAUGUGAACACCUGCAGAGUACGAAGCUGAAUCGUGCAAGUGAUGCACUCGAGUUGCUCCAUGGUAAUCUAUGUGGCCCUAUCACCCCGGCAACUCACGCGGGAAAGAAGUAUUUCUUCCUUGUGGUAGACAACUACUCGAGAUAUAUGUGGGUCGUUCUCCUACAAUUUAAAGAUGAGGCGUUUGAAGUGUUCCAGAAGCUAAAGGCUGCAACGGAGAUGGAACACAAGCUGAAGGUUCGCGCUCUAUGGACAGAUCGCGGCGGAGAGUUUACGUCGAAUGAAUUCAACGACUACUGCGAGAAGAUUGGCAUAAAAAGGUUCCUCACGGCACCUUACACGCCGCAGCAGAACAUGGUCGUUGAAAGGCGCAAUCGAACUGUCAUCGACGAGAUGACCAUAACGGAGGCGGUCGGACGCUUGCGGACAUGGGAAGAGAGUGCCCGUCGCUGUCGGAAAGGCAAAGGAGGAGGUAGUGACCAACUCAUGUACUCGCGCGCAGAUUGUGAGGUCCCAAGUAGCAAAGGAAGGCGUGACGGUGGCGAAGGCUCAAACAACACGAAGGGCGAUGGAGAAACCGAAAAAGGCAAAGGAAAAGUCAAACCACAAGGUCGUGGUAAGGCGGGCCAAUCUAAAGAGCAGAAGCCACGGAAUUUGGACUUGUCCGAGGUCAAGUGCAAUAACUGCAAUAAGAUGGGUCACUUUGCGAAGGCUUGUCUGAAGCCUAACAAGCGGGAGAUCAAGGCAAAUUUGGCAAAGCAGGAAGGCGAAGGUCCAGGUCUUCUGAUGGCCAAAGUUUGUGAUCUCGCUGAAACGGUGGUUGUGAAACCAAGCCGGAAGGUGCUACUUCACGAGAAGAAAGUGACACCGAAGUUAUCCGGUGAUCAGAACGUGUCGUGGUAUCUCGACACGGGGCCAGUAACCACAUGACGGGGUGCAAGGAGAAAUUCCUCGAGCUGGAAUACGAUGUUGAAGGCUCGGUCAAGUUCGGUGAUGGUUCAGCUGUGGAGAUUUGCGGGUAAGGAUCUGUCCUCUUCGAGGGUCUCACAGGCGAACAUCGCAUACUCACCGGAGUGUACUACAUCCCACGGCUUCACAACAACAUCUCUCUAUUGGAAGCUUGCAUGCNNNNNNNNNNNNNNNNNNNNNNNNNNNNNNNNNNNNNNNNNNNNNNNNNNNNNNNNNNNNNNNNNNNNNNNNNNNNNNNNNNNNNNNNNNNNNNNNNNNNUUCUCGUUCGAAACCCUGAUACUUCGAGAGAGAUUGUCCGUUUUGUACACGAAGUGCAUCCAGUUUUUGAAGUAGCCCUCUCAAAUUUUUAACACAUGCUAUGUGGGUGAAAUGAAUUUUAGGGUCAACUAGCCAAAACAAAUAAGUAAAUGCACGAAAAAUACCAAAUGAAGUCAGAAAUUGUUGAAAUUUUGUGAUGUGCCUUUGAAUGGUGCUAUUUUGAAUAAACAAAAACUAUGGAGUUCAAAUAAGUUCAAAAAAAAUGAAAUCCCUUUGUAAGAGAUGAGUUCUCGUUCGAAACCUUCAUACUUCGAGAGAGAUUGUCUGUUUUGUACACGAAGUGCAUCCAGUUUUUGUCAUAGCCCUCUCAACUUUUUAAUACAUGAUAUGUGGGUGAAAUGAUGAUAGCAUGCCAACUUUCAACAUUUUCAGAGUUCAUUUGUACUGCUUUUCAAUUUCAGGGUCAACUAGCCAAAAAAAACGAAAGUAAAUGCACGAAAUAUACCAAAUGAACUCAGAAAUUGUUGAAAUUUUGUGAUGUGCCUUUGAAUUGUUCAUUUUGAAUACACAAAAAGUAUGGAGUAUAAAUAAGUUCAAAAAAAUGAAAUCCCUUUGUAAGAGAUGAGUUCUCGUUCGAAACCCUGAUACUUCGAGAGAGAUUGUCCGUUUUGUACACGAAGUGCAUCCAGUUUUUGUCGUAGCCCUCUCAACUUUUUAACACAUGCUAUGUGGGUGAAAUGAUGAUAGCAUGCCAACUUUCAACAUUUUCAGAGUUCAUUUGUAGUGCUUUUAAUUUUAGGGUCUACUAGCUCAAAAAAAUAAGUAAAUGCACGAAAUAUACCAAAUGAAGUCAGAAAUUGUUGAAAUUUUGUGAUGUGCCUUUGAAUGGUGCAUUUUGAACACACAAAAAGUAUGGAGUUCAAAUACGUUCAAAAAAAUGAAAUCCCUUUGUUAGAGAUGAGUUCUCGUUCGAAACCCUGAUACUUCGAGAGAGAUUGUCCGUUUUGUACACGAAGUGCAUCCAGUUUUUGUCGUAGCCCUCUCAACUUUUUAACACAUGCUAUGUGGGUGAAAUGAUGAUAGCAUGCCAACUUUCAACAUUUUCAGAGUUCAUUUGUAGUGCUUUUCAAUUUUAGGGUCAACUAGCCAAAAAAAUAAAGUAAAUGCACGAAAUAUAACAAAUGAAGUCAGAAAUUNNNNNNNNNNNNNNNNNNNNNNNNNNNNNNNNNNNNNNNNNNNNNNNNNNNNNNNNNNNNNNNNNNNNNNNNNNNNNNNNNNNNNNNNNNNNNNNNNNNNUAAGUGUUUUGAGAUAUGUGAGAAGCAGCAUAAAAGAUGACCAAGUUCAGGUAUGCUCAAUUUCACCCGAUGAUUCAGGUUUAUAGGUGACGACCCAAGUUGUCACAGAGCGUUUCAUCAUCACAUGGUCAUUUGUGGGCUGAGAGAGGCUCGAACUCUCGACCUCAGGAUCACUCACGAUUCAGCUAUGAGACCUAGGCGCCACCACCCCU
rnacentral:lncRNA from 1 species